AUCGCUUCUCGGCCUUUUGGCUAAGAUCAAGUGUAAUCUGUGUUUAUUUUUUAUUUGGUCAUAUCUUCCAUUCUUU
rnacentral:snRNA from 1 species